GCAGCCAUGAACGAGAAGUUCAAAGAGAAGGACAAGAAGCUGGAAGAGGUUCGAAAACACAAAGAAAACAAAGAGGUCAGCUGUGAAGAAAAGUGAAAACUACAGUUAUAGGGGAUUCUGAUGUUUUUUUUUUACUUAUACAAAGAUUUUCUGUUUUCUUUUUGAGUUCACAUGAGAGGGAAAAAAAAACGAGGUGUCAUCAUGGGUCCAUGUUCAGAAAACAAACAAAUGCAGCUUUCGGUUUGUUUAUAGCAGUGGUUUUACACAUCGAUUAACUCUCCUUCACUUAUCUGUGCGCUGUUUAGACUGCAGCUUUGUCUUUGUCUGAUAUUAGCUGUCUUCUCGACCUGAUAGGGACUCGUGUAUGAUGUGCUUAACUCUAUUUCUUGAGCUUUUUGCUUUUCUCGAGGUUAGGAGCUUGUUUGUGUGUUUUUCGCUUCAAGCACAUGACUGUUCUUUGUACAGGUUUAGACUGGGUAUUGGAGGGCUUUACAUGUGAAAUGCAAAAUUAGCAAUACACGUUGACAUCUUUGACCGUUAACUUACCGGUUGUACCAAAUAAAAGAAGUACUAAAACUA